rnacentral:rRNA from 1 species
GACGAACGCUGGGCGGCGUGCUUAAAACAUGCAAGUCGAACGGACUUCUCAUGAAGCUUGCGAUUGAGAAGUUAGUGGCGGACGGGUGAGUAACGCGUGGGCAACCUGCCCCUGAGCCCGGGAUAACAGUUCGAAAGGACUGCUAAGACCGGAUAUACUUGCGGGGAAGCAUUUCACUGCAAGGAAAGGGAACGCUCAGGGAUGGGCCCGCGUCCCAUUAGCUAGUUGGUGAGGUAACGGCCCACCAAGGCGACGAUGGGUAGCCGGCCUGAGAGGGUGAACGGCCACACUGGGACUGAGACACGGCCCAGACUCCUACGGGAGGCAGCAGUUGGGAAUCUUCGGCAAUGGGCGCAAGCCUGACCGAGCAACGCCGCGUGAGUGAUGAAGGUUUUCGGAUUGUAAAGCUCUGUCUUCCGGGACGAUAAUGACGGUACCGGAGGAGGAAGCCACGGCUAACUACGUG